AUUGAACGCUGGCGGCAGGCUUAACACAUGCCAGUCGAACGAGUGGCGGACGGGUGAGUAAUGCUUGGGAAUCUAGCUUCUGGAGGGGGAUAACUACUGGAAACGGUGGCUAAUACCGCAUACUAUCGGAUGAACCCAUAUGGGAUUAGCUAGUCGGUGGGGUAAAGGCUCACCUAGGCGACGAUCUCUAGCUGGUCUGAGAGGAUGAUUAGCGCCACUGGGACUGAGACUCGGUCCAGACUCCUACGUGAGGCAGCAGUGGGGAAUAUGGCACAAUGGGCGCAAGCCUGAUACAUCCAUGCCGCGUGUAUGAAGAAGGCCUGAGGGUUGUAAAGUACUUUCAGCGGGUAGGCGUUACCCGCAGAAGAAGCACCGGCUAACUCCGUGCCAGCAGCCGCGGUAAUUC
rnacentral:rRNA from 1 species